UACGUAGGGUGCAAGCGUUAAUCGGAAUUACUGGGCGUAAAGCGUGCGCAGGCGGUUCGUUAAGUCAGAUGUGAAAGCCCCGGGCUCAACCUGGGAACUGCAUUUGAAACUGGCGGGCUUGAGUAUGGCAGAGGGGGGUGGAAUUCCGCGUGUAGCAGUGAAAUGCGUAGAGAUGCGGAGGAACACCGAUGGCGAAGGCAGCCCCCUGGGCCAAUACUGACGCUCAGGCACGAAAGCGUGGGGAGCGAACGGG
rnacentral:rRNA from 1 species